CGGUAAUACGUAGGGUGCAAGCGUUAAUCGGAAUUACUGGGCGUAAAGCGUGCGCAGGCGGUUUUGUAAGUCUGAUGUGAAAUCCCCGGGCUCAACCUGGGAAUUGCAUUGGAGACUGCAAGGCUAGAAUCUGGCAGAGGGGGGUAGAAUUCCACGUGUAGCAGUGAAAUGCGUAGAGAUGUGGAGGAACACCGAUGGCGAAGGCAGCCCCCUGGGUCAAGAUUGACGCUCAUGCACGAAAGCGUGGGGAGCAAACAGGAUUAGAUACCCUGGUAGUCCACGCCCUAAACGAUGUCUACUAGUUGUCCUCUUUUAAUUAACUUGGUAACGCAGCAGUAUGGUGAAGUAGACCGCCUGGGGAGUACGGUCGCAAGAUUAAA
rnacentral:rRNA from 1 species